ensembl:lncRNA
AGUGAUCUGGUCUGCUACUGAGUGAUGCCGAGACAAGUGCAGGAAUGCUUCUGAAGGCUGCCACGCUGCCCCCAAAAGGAGUGGUAUGCCCCAGUGUUGUCACGGCUCCAGUUUGCUGGAAUGUCAUCUUGGCUCUUGCAACAAGCAGAAACUGAACAAGUCCAACUCUCCCAACCCUUCUUCGUAAGAGAUGUGCUCCAGCCCUCUGAGCAUCUUCAUGGCCCUCCUCUGGAUCUGCUCCAACAUCUCCACAUCUUUCCUAAGCUGGUGGCCCCAGGCCUGGACGCAGUACUGCAGAUGGAGUCUCACAAGGAUAGAGCAGAGGGUGACAAUCCCCUCCCUCAACCUGCUGCCACCCCUCUGUUGAUGCAGCCCAAUACACUGUUGGCCUUCUGGGCUGCAAGCACGCACUUCUGGCUCAUGUCCGGCUUUUUGUCCACCAGAACUCCCUAGUCCUUCUCUGCAGAGCUGCUCUCAGUGAGUCCUUCUCCCAGUCUGUACUCAUAUCUGGGAUUACCUCAACCCAAGUGCAAGAGAUAAGGAUGUGGUGUGGGACCGUGUCAAAGGCCUUGCUCAAGUCCAGAUAGAUGAUACCAGUUGCCCUUACUUUGUCCACUGAUGCCAUCACUUCAUCAUAGAAAGCAAUGAGAUUGUUCGGGCACAAUCUGCCUUGGUGAAGCUGUGCUGACUGUCUUAGAUCACGUCCUCAUCUUCUCUCACGUGCCUUAAUGUCUCUUUUGGGAGUCCUGAAUCUGUUCCAUGAUCUUCCCAGGCAUAGGUGUGAGGCAUACCUGUCUGUAGUUCAUACAGAAGUUUGUAACGGAGGUGGAGACAGACCACAGUGUCUGACUGCUUUGCUACUUGAGCUGCAACAGCUAAAGCUUCAGCUGAAGAGACUUGUGGAAGAGGGGGGAUACCAGAUCUGUAACAUGCAUGGAAAACCAAUGUCAAAAUAUGUUCAGUAUAUUUAUAACAUAAAGAAUAUAUUUCAGGUGUUGACAUUGGCUUUAUACAGAGACAAAAGAAGUUCUGAGCAAUUUAUUUUGUGUAGUAAAGCUAAUAAAAUUAACAGAUCAUGCUG